AGGUCACAAAGGGCAGAGGAAUAGAGUACAACAGUUCUUACAGUCUCGAGGAGAAUCU
rnacentral:sRNA from 1 species